rnacentral:rRNA from 1 species
UGCCAGCAGCCGCGGUAAUACGGAUGGUGCAAGCGUUAAUCGGAAUUACUGGGCGCAAAGCGCGCGUAGGCGGUUUGUUUAGUCAGAUGUGAAAUCCCAGGGCUUAACCUUGGAACUGCAUUUGAUACUGGCAGACUAGAGUAUGUUAGAGGAAUGCGGAAUUCCGGGUGUAGCGGUGAAAUGCGUAGAUAUCCGGAGGAACAUCAGUGGCGAAGGCGGCAUUCUGGACAGAUACUGACGCUGAGGAACGAAAGCGUGGGGAGCGAACAGGAUCAGAUA